rnacentral:misc_RNA from 1 species
CUACUUCACGACUAGUCGACGGUAAGCCAUUAUGGCGAACGGAUAGAAGUCGUGUGAGUGUCUGUUAGCUCGAAAAUUUACUGUGAUGAUACGCGUUUUCGUGUAGCGAUUUAACUCGGAGUUUUCAUCAGGCGGAAGUACAUCGACCUUUUAUCGCGCAACGACGUCCAAACGUGAAUGACACGAUGGUAAAACUGACCGAGGAGAUGGUCGUGGCUCGCACACGAAUGUCUGACUUCUCCGCCGUAAAGAAACUCAAUUGCUGGGGAACAGAAUUGACAGAUGUUAGCAUCUUAAGAAAAAUGAAGAAUGUAGAGGUAUUGUCAUUGAGUAUAAAUAAUAUUAAUACACUUGCCGAUUUUCAAUAUUGCCAGAAGCUUCAGGAUUUAUUUAUUAGGAGAAAUAAUAUCAAAGAUUUAAAUGAAGUUUGCUAUCUUCAAGGAUUACCUAAUUUACGGAAUUUGUGGCUUGGUGAGAAUCCAUGUGCAGAGAAAGAAGGAUAUCGAUUAACAGUACUUCGGGCUUUGCCAAACCUUGAGAAAUUAGAUGAUAAAGAAGUAUCGCCUGAAGAAAUACAAACUGCAAUGGCAAUAGGACGGCCCUUGGUACAUCCUCUUGAAAUGGAUACUUCUCCGCAAUCAGAUGCAGUAAGCCCAGAUGAAAUACCAAUUGAAUAUAUUGAAGAAACUGAAUUGGAGCAACCUAGGAGAUACAGUUCUUGUAGCGAUCAGAGAAGUUUCGAUGAGACGCAACACUCACACGAAGAAUAUGACCCUGACAGAAGGAACGCAAAUUAUAAUGCAUCAUCAUCUCAUCAUUAUUCACAAAAUAAUCAGUAUGCAUAUGAGCUACAGAAUGGCCAAUCAAAGAAACAGAGCAAAGAUGACACUGUGCGUACAGAGUCACGCAGCAACAAUGAAACUGCGGCCACUAACACUCUUGAAAUAUCCAAGGAUUACGAUGAUCGUCCGGUAGUAUCACGACAUAACGGAGAAUAUGAUGAAAGGCGAGGUUAUUCCGAUUAUGGCGGAAACGAAGUAUCUCAACGUGUUUAUAUGUCAACACCGCAACACCGUACACAAUACGCUGUCAAUGAACCUGCAGAUGAUAGACGGAGCGAAAGAAAUAACUAUGACUACGACGAGAGAAUAAAAUUAGAAUAUGAAGACUCGCAACCUCAGUUACCACCACAAACAAGAAGAAUGGCAGUUCAUCAUAAUAUCGAAAGAACAACAAGAUACUAAACUGAUUCUAUACGCAUCAAGAUAUACUGUACUGAUGUACGAUCGUUUAUAUGCGUAUCAUCCAGAAAAAUAAUUUAGUAUAAAAUUAAACGGAAGAUACUACUCAAGUACCUGGUUGGGUGAGACAUACUGAUAAAGAAAAAUGCAGAUCUCAAUUUCAUUAUCACAGACGACCAGUAACAAGG